rnacentral:rRNA from 1 species
GAACCGUGCGAACGUUGUUCGGAAUCACUGGGCUUAAAGGGCGCGUAGGCGGUUUACCAAGUCGGGGUUGAAAUCUUUCGGCCUAACCGGAAAAGUGGCUUCGAUACUGGUAGACUGGAGGGAGGUAGGGGCAGAUGGAACUUCCGGUGGAGCGGUGAAAUGUGUUGAUAUCGGAAGGAACGCCGGUGGCGAAAGCGAUCUGCUGGACCUCUUCUGACGCUGAGGCGCGAAAGCCAGGGGAGCAAACGGGAUUAGAUACCCCGGUAGUCCUGGCCCUAAACGAUGGGUACUGAGUAGUGGACUUGCAUGGGUUCACUGCUGAAGCAAAAGUGGUAAGUACCCCGCCUGGGGAGUAUGGUCGCAAGGCUGAA